UUAUAAUUUACAUCCUAUUGCUACGUGUUAGAAAAUUGUUCGUUGGGUUAGAGAGACACCCACAACUCCUAACACGAGACACAAGAGAGAGAGUAAAAAAAUCCUACAGAAUCUUAAUCUUCUU